rnacentral:sRNA from 1 species
UCCUUAAUGCAGUUGUCGUCGACAUGGA